rnacentral:tmRNA from 1 species
GGGGAUGACAGGCUUCGACGGGGAAGGCUGGUUCUUGGUGGCAAGCCGAGGUGCUUCACCUCGCUAAAAAGGAGCAAAGGCAAUAACUGCCAACAACAAAGUGAACACGGCAUUCGCAUUCCCGAAGGUGGCUCAGCCAGCAAUGGCUAUCGCCGCCUAAGGGCGACGUGAGUGCUCUGGUCACCACGAGUGACCACGUCGGUCCGCUCCGCCUCCCGCUAGGGGCGAAGCCGGCGACAUCAAAUGCGGGGUGCGGCGGGCCCGAUGCCGAUGAGGCCUGCCAAAGACGGGGAGACCCGGAUCGGAUGGCCAGAGCUGCAUCCUGUCGGCCGGAGUCAGCACUGGCGACAGCCAAUUGACCGACUAAGCUUGUAGCACCACCUUGGAUCGAAUUCUUCGGACGCGGGUUCGAUUCCCGCCAUCUCCACUC